CAGUUGGUAGAGCAAUGGAUUGAAGCUCCAUGUGUCGGCGGUUCGAUUCCGUCCUGCGCCA
rnacentral:tRNA from 1 species